AUUGAACGCUGGCGGCAGGCCUAACACAUGCAAGUCGAGCGGAUGAAGGGAGCUUGCUCCUGGAUUCAGCGGCGGACGGGUGAGUAAUGCCUAGGAAUCUGCCUGGUAGUGGGGGAUAACGUCCGGAAACGGGCGCUAAUACCGCAUACGUCCUGAGGGAGAAAGUGGGGGGUCUUCGGACCUCACGCUAUCAGAUGAGCCUAGGUCGGAUUAGCUAGUUUGUGGGGUAAAGGCCUACCAAGGCGACGAUUCGUUACUGGUCUGAGAGGAUGAUAAGUCACACUGGAACUGAACCACGGUCCCUGCUCCUACGGGAGGCACCAGUGGGGAAUAUUGGACAAUGGGCGAAAGCCUUAUCCAACCAUGCCGCGUGUGUGAAGAAGGUCUUCGGAUUGUAAAGCACUUUAAGUUGUGAGGAAGGGCAGUAAGUUAAUACCUUGCUGUUUUGACGUUACCAACAGAAUAAGCACCGGCUAACUUCGUG
rnacentral:rRNA from 1 species